rnacentral:lncRNA from 1 species
GCUCUUCAUCCUCUGCAGAGCUCCCUUGAUCCGGAUCAGAGGUUCCAUGUGGAAGCAUCAAAUGUGAUCUCCACAUGAGCACUGGGGAGCAAGGAAUAAUGCAGGGUGGUUGCAUGUCCUCAGCACGCUCAGUUUGGGUACUUGCAGCCCCCAAAGCAGUAAGUGCAAUGACAGGGAAGGCCUGCCUCCAUCUCCUUGCUCCACUCUAAUUUCCUGCUGCAAAGCAAAGCAUGGCUUCAAUGGAAAUAUAUGCACAGCAGCCAUGCUUCUAAUUGAAACCCAGUUUGUCCUGAGAAGCAAUGCAAGUGUGUCCUUGGGAUGUCAGCCUUGGUGUGGGGUGCAUGAAUAGACCCAUUCAGACACUAACACAGGCCUCCUAAAUACAGCCCCAUCUACCAAGAGAUGGAUUCCUGAUGAAUUGAGCUCAACAAAGCAGCAGAGCGCACAGGAGAUAAUGGAAUGACUGCAAAAUACUGGCCACGUAUAGGAAUUUUAAUUCCACUUGACAGUGCCUGGAAGCUUUGUCAGUUUGGACAAGGUGUCAAGGAGGAAAAGGGGAGAGGCUGAAGCUGGAUGCUGUGGGGAUGCUGGGGCUGGUGGGUGCUGCUGGUGCUCAUCCCAUACUUUGGACGAACUCAUAGCUCUUUACAUUUAUCUUUUCAACACCAAAAGCUGGCUGCCAUCUCCACACCAGAGCUCCUAACGCAUGUUAACCUGGUGAGCUGGGAUGGGGCUCCUAGGACAUUCAGCACAGCGCUAACUCCCCGUGGGGCUGUCAUUACAAACCGAUGAGGUAUCAGUGUUAUGUUUUUGUUUAGCUAAAAAAGCCUUCAGAGUGAUGCUGAAUAAGUAUUAAUAGGCCUUUUUUGUUGUUUUUCUUCUUCUUUUUUUUUUUUUUCUUUUACUAACACAGAGAAAAUUGAAACCAGCUGGCAGGGCUGGUUGUUCCAGCCAACUGCAGCAGCCCUGGGGAUUCCCUUCAUGUGCUGGUGCUGCAGGGAGGGGAAAUUGGGCAAGCAGCAUGUGAGGGGAUUUGCCUGCCUGGGGAUGAGUCCCUGCCCAAAUGAGAGAGCUGGAGGAACUGGACCAAAGGAAGAAGGAGAGAUGCUGGGAAGACGCGUUUCAAUGUGUGGAUACUGCUUGCCUUACUCCUCUCUUGUGUGGCCAUUUCCCCUCUGCGCCUUUGGGAUAGAUGGAAUGAAGAUUGGUCCGAGGCAAAGCUGGCAGCCUGGGAGAUCGGUUUUGGAGCCGAGAGGGAUGAGCAUCCCCUUGUGAAGCUCUGCAAGGCCUCAGCUUCUCACUGCUGGAAACCGUGAGUGUGGGCUGGAAGAUGUGCCAGGGAGCCCCAGGCACACACUGGGACCAGGGGGAGCAUCCAGAGCAGGCUGCAAGCAGCUUCAGCAAUUAUCUAGCAAGUAGUGCCAGGAUGUAGGGCAUGGUGUGGGGAUGGGAAUACAACACACCUCCAUAGGGAUUUUAGGAAGUUCCUGGGGUGCUUUGAUGAGUGAAUGCCAUAUUGGCUGCUUGCCGGUCCUGCAGAGCACUACGCCUAGUACCUAUCCCUGCAUCCACACAGCCCCGAUGAGAGCAGGCCCAGAAGAUGUAUUGUAGUCCUUUGGCUGGAGAACCAGCAGCAGUCCUUCAUGUGGGGCUUCCAGCCCCCUGGAGAAACCACAUCAAGAGCAUCCCUGCCUUUGUGGUGCUAUGGAUGUGAGUGGGCUGGGGUUACCUUUCAGAUCACUUUGCUCACACUGUGAAAUCAAUACUCCUGAAAACAAAGGCUAGAGGAGAGCUGGGUCUCUGCUUGGGCUUGGGAGAAUUUCCUUCCAAGAUGCUGUCACAGGUUGCAGGGGAAGGCACUCUGGGCUGAGGCACUGGUGUGUUUCUGGAUCUCUCCUGGGUUUAGGCGGCUCGUGGGUAUUGACUGUCAUGAAAUGGAGAGGGUGCAUCAUAGCUUUGCUCCACAGGGAGCAGAGCAUAGAGAUCCAUGGUGGGGAUUAACGGUGUCUGCUCUCUGGGGUGGCUCCAGAGGAUGAGAAAUGCAUGGCCAGGCACAGCACAAAGCCCAGAGGAGCAGAGUGAUCUCAUGCAUUUCCACCUUCUUUUCAUCAGCAAUCAGCGCUGGGAGUAUUGCAAUGAACUUUCUGGUGUUAAUCUGACAUGCUUCAGG